rnacentral:sRNA from 1 species
CAGAACCUGUGGUUUGCCAACCCCGGGGGCAGCAAUAGCAUGCCAAGCCGCACCCACAGCUCAGUCCAGAGGACCCGCUCGCUGCCCGUGCACACUUCCCCACAGAACAUGCUGAUGUUCCAGCAGCCAGGUUCCCAAGUUCACAGUGGACUGUGUUUAACAGACCUUAGAGAAUUCCAGCUUCCCGUGACCGAACCUGACAUCAACAACAGGCUGGAGUCGUUGUGCCUCAGUAUGACCGAACACGCCCUGGGAGACGGGGUUGACCGGACCUCCACCAUCUAGAAGCUGAAGAUGAGAGUGACCGCGCUGGCCGUGAAAUCGACUGCUGCGGGUCCAGUGUCAGCCAUCUUCAGGGUUGCACAGAAUCCUCCAAGAUACUUUGCAGCCUUUUUUCCCCCUGGUCCCUCUCCCGUUUUGAUUUUGUGAGAGCGUACGUCAUCCUCGUAAACAUAUCAGUAGACCUGG